rnacentral:rRNA from 1 species
GACGAACGCUGGCGGCGUGCCUAAUACAUGCAAGUCGAGCGAGACUCUUCAGAGUCUAGCGGCGGACGGGUGAGUAACACGUGGGCAACCUGCCUGUAAGACUGGGAUAACACCGGGAAACCGGUGCUAAUACCAGAUAAUCCUUUUUCUCUCAUGAGGAAAAGCUGAAAGACGGUUUCGGCUGUCACUUACAGAUGGGCCCGCGGCGCAUUAGCUAGUUGGUGAGGUAACGGCUAACCAAGGCGACGAUGCGUAGCCGACCUGAGAGGGUGAUCGGCCACACUGGGACUGAGACACGGCCCAGACUCCUACGGGAGGCAGCAGUAGGGAAUCUUCCACGAUGGACGAAAGUCUGAUGGAGCAACGCCGCGUGAGCGAUGAAGGCCUUCGGGUCGUAAAGCUCUGUUGUUAGGGAAGAACAAGUACCGGAGUAACUGCCGGUACCUUGACGGUACCUAACCAGAAAGCCACGGCUAACUACGUGCCAGCAGCCGCAGUAACAC